rnacentral:rRNA from 1 species
ACGCUCGACACCUACGGGAGACAGCAGUGGGGAAUAUUGCACAAUGGGGGAAACCCGUGAUGCAGCGACGCCGCGUGAGUGAAGAAGUAAUUCGUUAUGUAAAGCUCUAUCAGCAGGGAAGAAAGUGACGGUACCUGAGUAAGAAGCCCCGGCUAACUACGUGCCACAGCCGCGGUAAUCUGAGCGGGCUGGCAAGGC